AAGCACUGUGUGCCAUUUUCGCU
rnacentral:misc_RNA from 1 species